rnacentral:rRNA from 1 species
AGUGAACGCUGGCGGUAGGCCUAACACAUGCAAGUCGAACGGCAGCACAGUAAGAGCUUGCUCUUACGGGUGGCGAGUGGCGGACGGGUGAGGAAUACAUCGGAAUCUACUUUUUCGUGGGGGAUAACGUAGGGAAACUUACGCUAAUACCGCAUACGACCUACGGGUGAAAGCAGGGGAUCUUCGGACCUUGCGCGACUGAAUUAGCCGAUGCCGGAUUGGCUAGUUGGCGGGGUAAAGUCCCACCAAGGCGAGGAUCCGUAGCUGGUCUGAGAGGAUGAUCAGCCACACUGGAACUGAGACACGGUCCAGACUCCUACGGGAGGCAGCAGUGGGGAAUAUUGGGCAAUGGGCGCAAGCCUGAUCCAGCCAUACCGCGUGGGUGAAGAAGGCCUUCGGGUUGUAAAGCCCUUUUGUUGGGAAAGAAAAGCAGCAUGUUUAUACCCCGCUGUUCUGACGGUACCCAAAGAAUAAGCACCGGCUAACUUCGUG